CGACCUGAGAUCAGACGAGACUACCCGCUGAAUUUAA
rnacentral:rRNA from 1 species